rnacentral:rRNA from 1 species
AGUGAACGCUGGCGGCGUGCCUAAUACAUGCAAGUCGAACGGAAUUUAAGAGGGCUUGCUCUUUUAAAUUUAGUGGCGCACGGGUGAGUAAUAUAUAGCUAAUCUGCCCCUUGCUGGAGGACAACAGUUAGAAAUGACUGCUAAUACUCCAUACUCCUUUUUACCAUAAGAUAAAUCGGGAAAGAAUUUCGGCAAGGGAUGAGACUAUAUCGUAUCAGCUAGUCGGUGGGGUAACGGCCUACCGAGGCUAUGACGCGUAACUGGUCUGAGAGGAUGAUCAGUCACAUUGGAACUGAGACACGGUCCAAACUCCUACGGGAGGCAGCAGUAGGGAAUAUUGCGCAAUGGGGGAAACCCUGACGCAGCAACGCCGCGUGGAGGAUGACACUUUUCGGAGCGUAAACUCCUUUUGUUAGGGAAGAAUAAUGACGGUACCUAACG